CCUACGGGCGGCAGCAGUGAGGAAUAUUUGUCAAUGGUCGGGAGACUGAACCAGCCAAGCCGCGUGAGGGAUGAAGGUACAGAGUAUCGUAAACCUCUUUUGUCAGGGAACAAAGGCGGGGACGUGUCCCCGGAUGAGUGUACCUGAAGAAAAAGCAUCGGCUAACUCCGUGCCAGCAGCCGAGGUAAUACGGAGGAUGCGAGCGUUAUCCGGAUUUAUUGGGUUAAAAGGGUGCGCAGGCGGUCUGUUAAGUCAGCGGUAAAAGCCCGGGGAUCACCCCCGGCCCGCCGUUGAAACUGGCAGUCUCGAGUUGGAGAGAAGUAUGCGGAAUGUGCGGUGUAGCGGUGAAAUGCAUAGAUAUCGCGCAGAACUCCGAUUGCGAAGGCAGCAUGCCGGCUCCACACUGACGCUGAGGCACGAAAGCGUGGGUAUCGAACAGGAUUAGAUACCCUUGUAGUC
rnacentral:rRNA from 1 species